rnacentral:sRNA from 1 species
AAGAAAGUGACUGCCGCCACGCACAGGGGCAACGCUAAUAGACCACUAAGAAAACAGGAUUUCAUGAAAGCGCACGCAGGGACACCCGCCCCAGAGGCAGCAUCAAACCUCACCCCCGCGUGCCACGC